GAAUCCUCAUCUUUAUCAUCCUGAUACUUUCUUUCCUUCUUUUUUUCUUUCUUUUCGGUAUCAAGAUCAUCCUCAUCCUCAUCUCUCUUCUCCUUCUUUGACUUUUUCUCUUUUUUGUGCUUCUUGUGCUUCUUCCGUUUUC
rnacentral:sRNA from 1 species